UUAUUGUUGUACCGGGAAAUGAGCUUGACAAAGUGGUCAUUAAAGGCAAUGCCAGCCCCAGCAUCAAAGAUGGAAGAAUGGGUGUCACUGGUAAAGUUGCAAGAAAUAACCUGGUCCUCAGUGUAGCCCAGGAUUCCCUUGGUCCAGCAUCAAAGGUGGAAAAAUUCGCGUCACUGUUAAAGUUGCAGGAAGCAACCUUAUCCUCAGUGUAGCCCAGGAUACCCUUGAGGGGGCCCUCUGAUGCCUGCUUCACCACCUUCUUGAUGUCAUUAUGUUUG
rnacentral:lncRNA from 1 species